ACCGCCUCCCGUGAGAAGGAAGAAAGGUCGACCACGAUCAACACGUAUUCGUAAUAUAAUGGACGAAACAAGUGGGCGACGAACAAAAUGUAGCAUUUGUAAGCAGGGAGGUCAUUAUAGAAACACCUGUCCACAGAAUACAGAGAUAGCACAACAAGGACGUCGACAUGGCAGAUCUAGAGGAGGCGGGACCAGUUGAUGAGUCCGUCCUGACAGAGCAGCAUCUCCAUAGGUCUUCAUUUAUCACGAUUGAGGGAUAUCGCGGGGUACAGUUCAUAGAGCAUGGCCGCAAAUUAAAC